UGUAUGUUAAGUUAAUUGGUCCCAACAGCACCUUUAUAAUAUAUGCAUGUUGAAAUUAGUGCAGCCUUCUUGGUUUCACAUAUAUGUUUUGGGAGACCAUGCCAUCUCCCUGGAUUUUCCACUUCUCCUUGUCACAGGUGCCUCAUUCCAGGGUCCUAUUUAGCCUUGCAAUCCACACAGCUCCACCAAGAUUGAUUCCCAAGUAAGUGGGAACACUUUACACAUUACUAUUCAUACAGA